AUGCAUGUGUUAGUACAAGCUUGUAUCAAGCGAAACUGCGGAUGGCUCAUUAAAUCAGUCAUGGUUCCUUGGAACGAGUUGCCCUACAUGGAUAACUGUGGUAAUUCUAGAGCUAAUACAUGCCACCAAGCGCCGACCUUACGGAAGGCGUGCUUUUAUUAGGAACAAGACCAACUCGCCUUGUGCGGCUUCGUUGGUGAACUCUGGAUAACUUAGCAGAUCGCACGGUCAUCGCACCGGCGACAGAUCCUUCAAACGUCUGCCCUAUCAACUUUCGAUGGUACGUUAUGCGCCUACCAUGGUCGUAACGGGUAACGGAGAAUCAGGGUUCGAUUCCGGAGAGGGAGCCUGAGAAAUGGCUACCACA
rnacentral:rRNA from 1 species